rnacentral:pre_miRNA from 1 species
UAACUACUCCCUCCAUCCCAAAAUUCUUGUCUUAAAUUUGUCUACAUAUGAAUGUAUCUAGUCACGUUUUAGUAUUUACAUAAAUUCAUUUCUAGACAAACUUAAGACAAGAAUUUUGGGACCGAGGGAGUACAAU